rnacentral:rRNA from 1 species
CGCGUGUACUGGUCCGGCCGGGCCUUUCCUUCUGGAGAACCCCAUGCCCUUCACUGGGUGUGCGGGGGAACCAGGACUUUUACUUUGAAAAAAUUAGAGUGUUCAAAGCAGGCCUUUGCUCGAAUACGUUAGCAUGGAAUAAUAGAAUAGGACGUGCGGUCCUAUUUUGUUGGUUUCUAGGACCGCCGUAAUGAUUAAUAGGGAUAGUCGGGGGCAUCAGUAUUCAAUUGUCAGAGGUGAAAUUCUUGGAUUUAUUGAAGACUAACUACUGCGAAAGCAUUUGCCAAGGAUGUUUUCAUUAAUCAGUGAACGAAAGUUAGGGGAUCGAAGACGAUCAGAUACCGUCGUAGUCUUAACCGUAAACUAUGCCGACUAGGGAUCGGGCGAUGUUUCUUUCUUGACUCGCUCGGCACCUUACGAGAAAUCAAAGUUUUUGGGUUCUGGGGGGAGUAUGGUCGCAAGGCUGAAACUUAAAGAAAUUGACGGAAGGGCACCACCAGGCGUAAACCGCAUACUCUGCGCCAGAAAGCAGCCCGCGAGGGUGAGUGGAUGCCGUCCUUAAAUGCUAGUCGUAGAAAUACGGCAAGAUGCCUAAAUUGCGGGAAACUCGCGAAGCUCCCUAAUACCAAGCCACUUGUCGAAAGGCUAGUGGUGGCCGGUCUAACAGCCCGGGUAUGGUAACAGUAUAGGGUGUAUGUGACAAUCCGCAGCCAAGCCCCUCUGGCUAAGA